GCAUGAUGGCACUGAGGUUGGGAAAAGCCUUUGGGAACACCAUUGAGGAUGGAGAGGCGGCACCACGGUGUCCCCAUGUCCUUGUCCCCAUGUCCUUGUCCCCGUGUCCUUGUCCCCAUGUCCUUGUCCCCUUGCCCCCUGGUGCAGACCCCAAUAGGAUGGCGCAGACCCCACGGGUUGGGGACAGCACUGGGAAUGUGUCACACGUGACAGCGUUGGGAUUGGAAGAG
rnacentral:lncRNA from 1 species